ACCUCUCUGACAAUGUUCUUGCCAUGCUGGAUUGGCUUCAUCCCAGUCAAUAGCUCUAGAAGCACGACGCCGAGGCUGUACACGUCGCUCUUGUCUGUCAGUUUGUGAGUUAGGAAGUACUCUGGAUCAAGUGGCACUUACUGGGGUCCCCUUAACAACGGUGGAGAUAUGAGCUGGCAUGGUUCCAUCGACAUCCGGUACUGGCGCAAGCCUUGAAAGACCAAAGUCUGCGACUUUCGCUACAAAUUUGGAGUCCAGGAGGAUGUUGCUGGCCUUAACAUCACGGUGAAAUAUAGGAGGAUCUGCUUCGGUGUGUAGAUAGAGGAUUCCCUUUGCAGCACCCAGGGCAAUAUGUAUCCUCUGGCUAAAGUUCAGAGGUCUUCUUGACUUGGCUAAAGGUGAUCACGCAGAGUACCAUUCGGCAUGAACUCAUACACCAGCAUCUGCACCUGUUCAUCUUCUUCAUCACAAUAGCCAACCAGAGAAACUAAAUUACGAUGAUGUAGUCUUGAUAGCAAUUCUAUUUCUGUGCAGAACUCCUUUGAACCUUGAAGAGAACCUUCGUGUGCCCGUUUGAUUGCAACAGCUGUUCCAUCAGUUAGAUUUCCUUUAUAAACUUUUCCAUAACCCCCUUGACCAACUUGAGCUGAAUCAGUAAAAUCAUUUGUCGCUGCAGCCAUUUCAUCAAAUGUGAAGCAUCUCACACCAUCAA
rnacentral:sRNA from 1 species